GAGCGGCGAACGGGUGAGUAACGCGUGGAUUAUCUGCCCUGAGGUGGGGGAUAACCCGGGGAAACUCGGGCUAAUACCGCAUAUGACCGUGAGGUCAAAGGGGGGUCGCGAGAUCUCUCGCCAUAGGAGGAGUCCGCGUCCGAUUAGCUAGUUGGUAGGGUAAUGGCCUACCAAGGCGACGAUCGGUAGCCGGCCUGAGAGGGUGAUCGGCCACACUGGAACUGAGACACGGUCCAGACUCCUACGGGAGGCAGCAGUGGGGAAUUUUGCGCAAUGGGCUAACGCCUGACGCAGCAACGCCGCGUGGAGGAUGAAGGUCCUUGGAUUGUAAACUCCUGUCAGCAGGGAAAAAGCAACCUAACCUCAUACGUUAGGAAGUUGAUUGUACCUGCAGAGGAAGCCCCGGCUAACUCUGUGCCAGCAGCCGCGGUAAUACAGAGGGGGCAAGCGUUAUUCGGAAUUAUUGGGCGUAAAGGGCGCGUAGGCGGCCUGACAAGUGGAUGGUGAAAUCCCUCGGCUUAACCGAGGAACUGCCAUCCAGACUGUUGGGCUUGAGACCGGGAGAGGUGAGUGGAAUUCCCAGUGUAGCGGUGAAAUGCGUAGAUAUUGGGAGGAACACCAGUGGCGAAGGCGGCUCACUGGACCGGUAC
rnacentral:rRNA from 1 species